rnacentral:pre_miRNA from 1 species
CCUUUUAGGGACAAACGUCAAUAUUUUAGACAAGUCUCCUAUUUUUAGGGACUGAUGUCAUUUUUUGACGUGUCUCCUAUGAAUAUUGUCU